rnacentral:snRNA from 1 species
UUGGCUUAAACUCAAUGAGUAAGGAAACUAACGCUCUACUUGACACGUAGAGCUCCCCGUUGCGGGCAUAGCUGUCUGCAGGGGCUCCAAUUUUUAACCGGAGACGGAAUGGCCUUUUUCUG